rnacentral:rRNA from 1 species
AAACUCAAAUGAAUUGACGGGGCCCGCACAAGCGGAGGAACAUGUGGUUUAAUUCGAUGAUACGCGAGGAACCUUACCUGGGCUUAAAUGUAGAGCGACAGACCGGGAAACUGGUCCUUCUUCGGACGAUCUACAAGGUGCUGCAUGGUUGUCGUCAGCUCGUGCCGUGAGGUGUCGGGUUAAGUCCCAUAACGAGCGCAACCCUUAUCGUUAGUUGCCAGCGGGUAAUGCCGGGGACUCUAACGAAACUGCCGGUGUAAACCGUGAGGAAGGUGGGGAUGACGUCAAAUCAGCACGGCCCUUAUGUCCAGGGCGACACACGUGUUACAAUGGCCGGUACAAAGGGCAGCUACCUGGUGACAGGAUGCUAAUCUCCAAAACCGGUCUCAGUUCGGAUCGAAGUCUGCAACUCGACUUCGUGAAGCUGGAUUCGCUAGUAAUCGCGCAUCAGCCAUGGCGCGGUGAAUACGUUCCCGGGCCUU